GUGAAACCAUCCAAUGACAAUCUGGCAUGUUGUAUUGAAAAAGUACAAAUUCCAUUUUUUUUUUUUUGCAAAAUGUUUUAGAAGCAAAUUCAAGUUUUAUCCUAUUUCUAAUAAAAGUAUUAUGCAAGUCCAGACAAUGAGAUACAGCCUACAUGUUUCACAAAUCUACAUAUAUGGGGUGAAAAUAAAAUAAAAGACAAAGUAGAUAAAAUAUUUCUAAGAGACUUUGUGAUUACAGUAAGUAAACAAUGGCACACAAUUUUAUAUCAGAAGAAACAGAUAAAAAAUCACUCCUCAAAGUAUCAUGCCCAUAACACGUACCAAUACCAGCCAUGAUCCAGAUUUCAAGUCAGGCAAACAAAACAGCUGGUCUCCUCCAAAUAUUUUUGGGUCGAGUUGUUUAUAACUGAAGCACUGCAAUUCGUGAUUAAGGAAUCAGGGUUAUUGGGGUCCGUGCAAGCAAAUCAAUAUUGAGAUACUGAUAUCCUCGAUAUUAAUCACUUUAUAGACUUUCUGUCCAUAAUCGCCAACCAGUGAGAGAGUUGAGUAAGUACCACAUCUCUCAAGAUCUCAAGAUAAGGAUAAUCUAAAAUCCUGUUAAUGUGCAAUAUUUGUACAGUGACAGGGAAAUUCCAUUGACUUCUAUAUCUUAUAAUCUCACUUAAUUUACAAUCGAUUUUCAUAGCUUCGUUUUGCAAAGUGCCAAUGCACACAAGACAUUUAACAUACAAUGUAAUCAGAAAAGAGAAAAGAAUGCAUGAUGUAAUACAUACUAGAAGCACUGCCUAUUAAAAUGCAAUACAGUGUCUAACCACUAGGGGAGCUAUUUCUGUAUUUAUCAGUUUAUUUAUUUAGUUAUUGCAGCUGGUCCGAUAAUAAUUGAGCAGAAGUUGACUUUUUUUGUGUUUUAACAAAUUUAAAAGUAAAAAAUAUGUUAUAUAGCCAUUAUUAUUAUUAUUAUUAUUAUUAUUAUUAUUAUUAUUAUUAUUGUUGUUAUAUCUAACACCCAGAGCCUAGUUUUAGGUGUCUUCGUCCAGCUAAUCAUCUGUAAAUUAGGUUCAUAUGUUGUCAUUUAUUUAGAAUCAAUAAAGAUCUAAAUCUGUAUUAUGAUUUAUUUAACACUCUGCUAGCUUAAUUAUAAUAUUAACAUUAAUAUAUUUUAUUUUUUAAACACUAAUGUACUAUGUAACACUGUACAACAUAUCCUAAGGGUUUAUGUACAGAAGGUAUAUAUUUUUUAAAUAUACCUUCAACAGAGAAAUAAACAUUUGAAUCUAAAUUAUCUUACUAGUUCGAGUUUUGUAAGUCAAAUGUAACUACUGAAAAACAAAUAAGAAUUGUAUACAUAUGUUUUCAAACCAUUUGUUGGCACUCAUUGCAGUUAUUGGAAGACAAAAAUUAUAUAAUGAAUCAACACUGUUUGUAACUGCAGCACUAAUUAGAAAAACAAACUAUUUGCUACCACCACUCUUCACAGGAAAAAAAUCAUAAAAAAUAAUGUUAAAGGAAAACUUGAUUAGAGAGGCCAGGAAAGAGGCAAUUUAAUUUGGAGCUCAAUUUAGGAAUGUAGGAUAAUUUUAAAAGUACAGGAACUAAAAUAUGGAUUUCAACUUAUAUAGAUUUUUCCCCCAAAAAGGAAUUCAAAAUACUUAGCACAAGUCAUCAAGCUUAUAGCAGAGCCAAAACAUGUUUAGCAAUGACAAUGUGUAGGUUUGAAUAGAGUUAUUCCGUGUGAAAGGUUUUGAAAAAGUAACAAUUGGUUUUGCUCCUUAAGCACAUCUGUUCUACCCUCAAAUUUUUCUCCAAGAUUAUUGUAAUACUUGGUUGUAUAAAGCAGACAAUAAAACUACAACUAUCACAAUCCCUUACUCGGCUCAAAAUGAGACCUGUGUACUGUGAGAAUAUUUGGUUUGGCCUGACGAUUUUUUUCCUGAAAAUAGAGAAUGUUUCAAGACACUAUAUGUCAGUAUGGCUCAAUAGAAUUUUGGUAUCGUAAAACAGAACUCCAAACCAAAAGGGUGCAAAAAUGUGCCAAUAAAUGUACUGCAAAACACAUACUAUUAUGUACCAUAUAUAUUUUGCAGUAUGCUACUUGGCUCAGUUUCGCACCAUUUGGUCCACAGAUCUUGAGGAGCAAUAAACAAAACUAUAUUUAAAUAUUUACAAUAUAUAUAAUAUAUAAAUAAAGAUUUUCUUUCUGCUCAUCUCUUUUCCCUAUAUUGCUCUCUUCUCACAUGACCUGUUUGUAAAAUCAAGAUUUUGUGACUCUCCCCUAGCCUUCAAGCAUCUUUUUUUCCCCAAUUAAGCAUCUCUUUUUUUUUUUGCAGUGUGGGUGGAAUUCAGAAUCCCAAAUCAUAACGAACAUGUUUGGCCAGUGCUUGUUUGGUUCAUGAGUUGGAGUUCAGGAAUUUGUUUGACCUAUCAUGGCCAAAUUGCAAUUCAGGCCAAAACAAAUUUCCAAGUCUACCCAAAAUGCAUUGCAUAUAGUAUAACGUCAUAGUAGCUGUUGAAAGUGAGCAUCACGAUAGACUUAAUCAAUUUGUUGAUUUGUGAGAAAUAUUUCAGAUCAAUUCAGAGCUCUAUAACUCACUAUUUAAAGGAACACUCAAGUAUUGUAAUUAAAUACAUGUAUUUAUAACAAUGAAGUGUUGGUGAAUCUUCUGAGCCCCAUUCCCUAUUAAAGGUUUAACCUACCUUCGCCCCCACACCACUCCAUGCCUAAAGACUAAUCGGAUUCUACUUAUGUGAAAAUCUCUCAGAAUCUCAGAGAAUGUCAUUGAAUUAAGUGAUUGUCUGCAAGAAGCAUUGCUUCCACUUUGCGCUUGGACACAAAGCGAUUAGGAAGUGCACCCUCCUGGCUGUCCGAUUGACAGCUGUGAGGCUUCAACUUAAAUGGACACUCCAUUCACCCAGACCACUUCGGCCCAUUGGAGUGGUCUGGGUACCAACUCCCAUUACCCUUAACCCUGCAAGUGUAAUUAGUGCAGUUUUUCAUAAACUGCACUAAUUGCCCAACAGGAUUAAGUCCUCCUCAUAGACAGCCACUAGAGGAGCUUCCGGGUUCUUAAAACACUUUUAGUGUUUUAAGAGAUGCUGGGCGUCCUCAUGCAAUGCAUGAGGACCUCCAGCGUCACCGGGAUCCCCAUAGGAAAGCAGUGAAUAAUGCUUUCCUAUGGGGUGGUGUAAUGCAUGCGGCAAUUGCCGCGCAUGCGCAUUAGGUCUCCCCCGCCGGCUGACGUCGUUGGGAGAAACUGAAAAAAAUGCUAUGAAAGCAUUUUCUAUGACACUGUAUUCAGCUACAUAACUGUAUGACACAUCUGUACAUCAGUAUCCAAUAAUUUAUCAUUUAAGCCCUAUUUAUAGAAAUCUAGCUGUUUUUUUAAAGGGGGUACUACAAUGGAAUAUACCAUACCAAACCAUAUUAAUAUUACUGAACUAAAAUGAUAUCUAAUAUCAGGAUAGAAAGAACUUUUUUGAUAUAGAUUAUGUCUUGAAGAUAGCUUAGAGAAACAAUAAUAUGAAAAUAAUGUAUUUGGAGAUUGAAAAGCUGUUGUUACAUGCUUUUUCAUUUGCUUUGCUUAGAUCGCACUUCUUUCGAGUAACUACGAAUUAAUCCUGAAACCUGUGCCUGCUUGCUCUCUGUGAAAACUUCAACUGGAUCUCACUUUCUGAAUUUGAUUAUUCAGAGAUCAGUGAGUUUGAAGGUGUUUUUAAUUACAGGGACACUAUAGUCACCUGAACAACUUUAGCUUAAUGAAGCAGUUUUGGUGUAUAGAACAUGCCCCUGCAGCCUCACUGCUCAAUCCUCGCCAUUUAGGAGUUAAAUCCCUUUGUUUAUGAACCCUAGUCACACCUCCCUGCAUGUGACUUGCACAGCCUUCCAUAAACACUUCCUGUAAAGAGAGCCCUAUUUAGGCUUUCU